GUAGGUGGCAAGCGUUGUCCGGAAUUAUUGGGCGUAAAGCGCGCGCAGGCGGUUCUUUAAGUCUGAUGUGAAAGCCCACGGCUCAACCGUGGAGGGUCAUUGGAAACUGGGGAACUUGAGUACAGAAGAGGAAAGCGGAAUUCCACGUGUAGCGGUGAAAUGCGUAGAGAUGUGGAGGAACACCAGUGGCGAAGGUGGCUUUCUGGUCUGUAACUGACGCUGAGGCGCGAAAGCGUGGGGAGCAAACAGGGAUUAGAUACCCUGGUAGUCCACGCCGUAAACGAUGAGUGCUAAGUGUUGGGGGGGUUUCCGCCCCCUUAGUGCUGCAGCUAACGCAUUAAGCACUCCGCCUGGGGAGUACGGCCGCAAGGCUG
rnacentral:rRNA from 1 species